rnacentral:misc_RNA from 1 species
GAUGAAGAACGUAGCGAAAUGCGAUAAGUAGUGUGAAUUGCAGAAUUCAGUGAAUCAUCGAAUCUUUGAACGCACAUUGCGCCCCUUGGUAUUCCAUGGGGCAUGCCUGUUCGAGCGUCAUUUGUACCUUCAAGCUCUGCUUGGUGUUGGGUGUUUGUCUCGCCUGUGCGUGUAGACUCGCCUCAAAACAAUUGGCAGCCGGCGUAUUGAUUUCGGAGCGCAGUACAUCUCGCGCUUUGCACUCAUAACGACGACGUCCAAAAGUACAUUUUUACACUCUUGACCUCGGAUCAGGUAGGGAUACCCGCUGAACUUAAGCAUAUCAAUAAGCGGAGGA